GAUGAACGCUGGCGGCGUGCCUAAUACAUGCAAGUCGAGCGAACGGACGAGAAGCUUGCUUCUCUGAUGUUAGCGGCGGACGGGUGAGUAACACGUGGAUAACCUACCUAUAAGACUGGGAUAACUUCGGGAAACCGUAGCUAAUACCGGAUAAUAUUUUGAACCGCAUGGUUCAAAAGUGAAAGACGGUCUUGCUGCCACUUAUAGAUGGAUCCGCGCUGCAUUAGCUAGUUGGUAAGGUAACGGCUUACCAAGGCAACGAUGCAUAGCCGACCUGAGAGGGUGAUCAGCCACACUGGAACUGAGACACGGUCCAGACUCCUACGGGAGGCAGCAGUAGGGAAUCUUCCGCGAUGGGCGAAAGCCUGACGGAGCAACGCCGCGUGAGUGAUGAAGGUCUUCGGAUCGUAAAACUCUGUUAUUAGGGAAGAACAUAUGUGUAAGUAACUGUGCACAUCUUGACGGUACCUAAUCAGAAAGCCACGGCUAACUACGUG
rnacentral:rRNA from 1 species